CGGACGGGUGAGUAAUGCCUAGGAAUCUGCCUGGUAGUGGGGGACAACGUUUCGAAAGGAACGCUAAUACCGCAUACGUCCUACGGGAGAAAGCAGGGGACCUUCGGGCCUUGCGCUAUCAGAUGAGCCUAGGUCGGAUUAGCUAGUUGGUGAGGUAAUGGCUCACCAAGGCGACGAUCCGUAACUGGUCUGAGAGGAUGAUCAGUCACACUGGAACUGAGACACGGUCCAGACUCCUACGGGAGGCAGCAGCU
rnacentral:rRNA from 1 species